CUAUGUGUCAACGCUGCCAGGAUUGUGUUAAUGCGCAGGGAGGGAACAACAUAUUCUGAUAUUGCUCAGGCACUAUCGACUAUGAAUCUCAAGCAGUCCUUAGCCGGUGCCGUUUUUCAAAAAAAAACCUCUUAAGUAAGCAACACCAUUUCUAGUAAUGGUUCUGAGUAGAGUUACUCAAUCAGUGAAGCAUGAUGAGGUGAACUUGCCACAGUUGGCUUUCCUCCCUAUCCCAACAGGAGUGCUAAGGCCAAAGCAAUGCUCCUUGUGGGUACCCAGCCAAGAUGUGCAACUUGGCAUGAGUGGAAUUCAGACCACUCUCUAAGGCUCUCCCAGCACUCCAAACAUCUGUGACUACACUAUGCGUGACACUGGGGACCCCCAUCUUCAUUUUAUUUGAACUAGCUUGCAAAUACCUUGAAACCCAUAUUUUCUAAAAUAUAGUAAAAACCAAUUGUGUUUAUUAAGAUUAACAAGAUCUUUUCUUGCGGAUGAGGCACCUAUUUUCAUCAGUGAUAAACAAAACUGAAUGCGAAGAUACUGCAUUCUGCUGUCUAGUGAAAGAAGGAAAACAAUCGUACAAUACUUUGAUUACAAGCACCCUUGACUAAUUCACUGUCCUCAAUAUUUCAUGGUUUGCAAGUCAGAUAGCAAAAUAACAACUGACCACUGUAUAGUAUGAAUCUGUAUAAUUAACACAAAUCUCAAAGUCAUGUCUAAAAUGUGUGUGCUGUAGUUGCACAGCCAAUAAAAUGAACUGCUCACCAUGUCUGCAUUCACACCAACAGGUAGGUCACAUUGACCGCCUGAAGAUAAGCAGGAUAGCCCGAGCAUCACUGAGGAUGCAAACAAGCCUAGAGUGUGCACUGUGUAGUUUUGCCUUUUGUAAUUCCUUUACCUGGGAAGUGGAUUUCUGAUCAUGUAAAUUCACAAUUCACUGGUGUCUUCUAUUUGAGCAUGUCUGCGGGGGCACAUUACUAUGUCUAUUGCAGUUCUGUAAAUCUCAUUGUAAUGUGCAAAUAAUGAAAUGUGAUCAUUUAUUCUAAUCUUAAUUCAUAAUAUGAAAGCAUUCAUCAAAAUUAUGACAUAUUGUCUCCAUUCUAGCAUACAAAAACAUCAAACUAAAUAGAGUAUAGUUCCUUCAGGCUGAAGGCUAGAAAAGUUGUUUCUUCCUUUCUUCCCCUCAGUUCAUGAGUUAGAGUUUGAUGUUAUUAAUGUAAUUUGUAUUUUGAGACACUGUACAGCUGUGGUUAAAAGUUUUGCAUCACCCUAUAGAAUGAACUAAUUUUGCUUCAUAAAGUGAAAUGAA